rnacentral:rRNA from 1 species
CGCAACCCUUAUUCUUAGUUGUUUCCCUUUGGGAUUACCCUCUAAGAAGACUGCCUCGGAUAACGGGGAGGAAGGCGGGAUGACGUCAAGUCCGCAUGCUCCUUACGUCUAGGGCUACACACGUCCUACAAUGGGGUCGACAAUGGGAUGCAAUAUCGCAAGAUGGAGCCAAAUCCCCAAACGGCCUCUCAGUUCGGAUUGUAGUCUGCAACUCGACUACAUGAAGUCGGAAUCGCUAGUAAUGGCGGAUCAGCAUGCCGCCGUGAAUACGUUCCCGGGUCUU